rnacentral:lncRNA from 10 species
UUUAAGAGUACAAGGACAAUGCUGAAAGGAAUAACAAGGCUUAUCUCUAGGAUCCAUAAGAUGGAGAGAAGGGAACCGGAAAAACACUCGGUCUUUGCCAUGUUAUUCAUUUCUGUGCAAAACAGGACUGGCUGAUACUACGUAUUCCAGAUGCUCAUCUUUGGGUGAAAAAUUGCCGGGAUGUUCUGCAGUCCAACUACAACAAACAGCGCUUUGAUCAACCUUUAGAGGUUUCAACCUAGCUGAAGAAUUUCAAAACUACAAAUGAGCACUUCCUG